GCAGAUGACUUAUCUGGGCAAUGUUAUGAGAUGUUACCACCUGCUGAAGUAGAGGAUGUGGAACCUUUAAAUCAUUUAAAAGGAUUCUCGUUUGUGUGCAAGGAGUGGAGGAACAUCUCACCCAAACAAUAGAUUUUGGCCUAAAUCUUCAGAGAAGGCAGAAGAGCUAAGAGGAGCAUACAGAGAAGGACUAAUUGUGUGCCGUUGGAGCCUUUCAAUAGAACCAGAAGCUCCAGUUCUGUAGGACCUAAAUACAGAACAACAGAGACAGUCGUUUAAAAAGAAAUCCAUGGAAUUGAAAUAGAGCGAAAAAUCGCACUUGGACUGCUGACACCAGUUUUGCCUAUUUCCUGGAUCUCCAGAACAGUGACGUAACAUCUGCUUGCAUCACCCUGCCAGCACUCUGUAUGGCCCAAAACUGAUGUCACGGGCAGCCAGCAGGAAUAUGGGUUUUGACCCGCUGGGGGUUCAGAAGAGUAACCAUGGCCGAAGAAUAGCAUGGCUUCAGAACUGUAAUGUAACAUCUGCUUGCAGCACCCUGCCAGCACUCUGUAUGUUUAAAAACUGAUGUCUCAGGCGGCCAGCAGGAAUAUGGGUUUUGACCCACUGGGGGUCCAGAAGAGGAACCAUGGCCCAAGAAUAGCAUGACUCCAGAACAGUGACUUAACAUCUGUUUGCAGCACCCCUUCUUUAGGCCAAUUGACUGGCAGGCCGUGGAAGCUGGGAGAAUUAAGCCACCUUUUAUACCACCACCAGCAGAUGACUUAUCUGGGCCGUGUUAUGAGAUGUUACCACCUUCUGAAAUAGAGGAUGUGGAACCUUUAAAUCAUUUAAAAGGACUUUCGUUUGUGUGCAAGGAGUGGAGGAACAUCUCACCCAAACAAUAGAUUUUGGCCUAAAUCUUCAGAGAAGGCAGAAGAGCUAAGAGGAACAUACAGAGAAGGACUAAUUGUGUGCCGUUGGAGCCUUUCAAUAGAACCAGAAGCUCCAGUUCUGUAGGACCUAAAUACAGAACAACAGAGACAGUCGUUUUACAAGAAAUCCAUGAAAUUGAAAUACAGAGUGCGAUCUCCAGAACAGUGACGUAACAUCUGCCAGCACUCUGUAGAAGAGGAACCAUGGCCAAAGAAGAGCAUAUCUCCAGAACAGGAAUGUAACAUCUGCCGCCGGUUACUGUACUGAGCAUUUACAGAAGAAAUAAAGUAAAUGUGAAAAAUAAAUGUAAAUAAGUAAAUGUAACCCUAUCUUAAAAAAUAGGGUGUUCAUGUAUUUAUGUAUAUAUUUUGUACAAUAAAUGUAAUACAAAUGUAAAAAAAAUAUUAAUAAUGUAAGCUAUUAAAAAAAA